ensembl:misc_RNA 7SK 7SK RNA
GGAUGUGAGGGUGAUCUGACUGCAACAUCUGCCACCCCAUUGAUCACCAGGGUUGAUUUGGCUGAUCUGGCCAGCUAGAUGGGUGUCCCCUUCCUUCCUCACCUCUCCAUGUGCAUCCCUCCCAAAGCUGCAUUCUUGGUGGAAGAAGACGACCUUCUCUGAUAGAGGAGGACUGUUCUUUGGUCAAGGGCAUACGAGUAGCUGUGCUUCCCUGCUAGAACCUCCAGACAAGCUCUCAAGGACAGCGUUCUGGGAUUUGGAAACUGUAAGAGGUUAAGGAGAUGAGGAGAAACCAUCUCAGAAGACUG